GGCCUUCCACGCACCGUCAUCGAAGUUGCGCGCGUAGCUGGCGGAGUCGUACCCCAGCACCCCGGCUCCGGCUCCGGCCCCGGCCCCGCCGCCCGCCGUGGCACUCCUCCUGCCGCUGCCGCCCUUCCUUUCCGCCGCCGUGCCGCCUCUUCCGCAGAGCCCCGCCCACGCCAGCUUCCGCGCGCGGCCUGCGCCGCCGCACCAGUACCGCCGCCUCGCCGCGCAGCUCAGCCGCACGGCCGCCCACCGCAGCAGCACCCACGCCCGCGCCCGCACGCCGCCGCCCCGCGGACGCUGGCUCUGGCUCCCCUGCGAGAGCAGCCGCUGGUACGUUACACCCAUCAAUCACGAGACGCCGCGCCGUACUGCAGUCCGCAGUCGUUUUUGGCGCCACCUCGUAACGUAU
rnacentral:misc_RNA from 1 species